rnacentral:rRNA from 1 species
GACAGAGGCCUCGAGCGUUAGGCGGAAUCACUGGGCUUAAAGCGUGUGUAGGUGGAUGCCUAAGUGCCUUGUGAAAUCCCACGGCUCAACCGUGGAACUGCUUGGCAUACUGGGUGUCUUGAGCCACUUAGGGGUUACCGGAACAAACGGUGGAGCGGUGAAAUGCGUAGAUAUCGUUUGGAACGCCAAUGGUGAAAACAGGUAACUGGGAGUGUGCUGACACUGAGACACGAAAGCCAGGGGAGCGAACGGG